CUAACACAUGCAAGUCGAGGGGUAACAGGGAAAAGCUUGCUUUUCCGCUGACGACCGGCGCACGGGUGCGUAACACGUAUGCAACCUACCUUGACCAGGGGAAUAGCCCAGAGAAAUCUGGAUUAAUACCCCAUAAUAUAAUUCAUUCGCAUGUUUGAAUUAUUAAAGUUUCGGCGGAUCAAGAUGGGCAUGCGGCCUAUUAGUUUGUUGGUAAGGUAACGGCUUACCAAGACUACGAUAGGUAGGGGUUCUGAGAGGAUGAUCCCCCACACUGGUACUGAGACACGGACCAGACUCCUACGGGAGGCAGCAGUGAGGAAUAUUGCGCAAUGGACGAAAGUCUGACGCAGCCAUGCCGCGUGCAGGAUGAAUGCCCUAUGGGUUGUAAACUGCUUUUAUAUACCAAGAAACCUUCGGACGUGUCCGAGGCUGACGGUAGUAUAUGAAUAAGGACCGGCUAACUCCGUGCCAGCAGCCGCGGUAAUACGGAGGGUCCAAGCGUUAUCCGGAUUUAUUGGGUUUAAAGGGUUCGUAGGCGGGGUAUUAAGUCAGUGGUGAAAGCCCACAGCUCAACUGUGGAACUGCCAUUGAUACUGGUACUCUUGAGUAUAGUAGAAGUUAGCGGAAUGUGUCAUGUAGCGGUGAAAUGCUUAGAUAUGACCCAGAACACCGAUUGCGAAAGCAGCUAACUAUGUUAUUACUGACGCUGAGGA
rnacentral:rRNA from 1 species